rnacentral:rRNA from 1 species
CAAUAGCGUAUAUUUAAGUUGCUGCAGUUAAAAAGCUCGUAGUUGGAUUUCGGGUGGGAAUGGCCGGUCCGCCGUUUCGGUGUGCACUUGCUACGCCCACCUUGCUGCCGGGGACGUGCUCUAGAGUUCACGCUCGGGACACGGAGUCGGCGAGGUUACUUUGAGUAAAUUAGAGUGUUCAAAGCAGGCCUACGCUCUGAAUACAUUAGCAUGGAAUAACACGAUAGGACUCUGGCCUAUCUUGUUGGUCUGUAGGACCGGAGUAAUGAUUAAGAGGGACAGUCGGGGGCAUUCGUAUUUCAUUGUCAGAGGUGAAAUUCUUGGAUUUAUGAAAGACGAACUACUGCGAAAGCAUUUGCCAAGGAUGUUUUCAUUAA